rnacentral:rRNA from 1 species
UACGGAAGGCAGCAGUGGGGAAUAUUGCACAAUGGGCGCAAGCCUGAUGCAGCCAUGCCGCGUGUAUGAAGAAGGCCUUCGGGUUGUAAAGUACUUUCAGUCGUGAGGAAGGUGUUAAGGUUAAUAACCUUAGCAAUUGACGUUAGCGACAGAAGAAGCACCGGCUAACUCCGUGCCAGCAGCCGCGGUAAUACGGAGGGUGCGAGCGUUAAUCGGAAUUACUGGGCGUAAAGGGCACGCAGGCGGUUAAUUAAGUUGGAUGUGAAAUCCCCGGGCUUAACCUGGGAAUGGCAUUCAAGACUGGUUAGCUAGAGUCUUGUAGAGGGGGUAGAAUUCCAUGUGUAGCGGUGAAAUGCGUAGAGAUGUGGAGGAAUACCGGGUGGCGAAGGCGGCCCCUGGGACAAAGGACUGACGCUCAUGUGCGAAAGCGUGGGGAGCAAACAGGAUUAGAUACC